GAAAGAUCUCCCAUGCUCAUGGAUUGGCAGGAUUAAUAUAGUAAAAAUGGCCAUUUUACCAAAAGCGAUCUACAGAUUCGAUGCAAUCCCCAUCAAAAUACCAAUCCAAUUCUUCAAAGAGUUAGACAGAACAAUUUGCAAAUUCAUCUGGAAUAACAAAAAACCCAGGAUAGCUAAAACUAUCCUCAACAACAAAAGGACUUCAGGGGGAAUCACUAUCCCUGAACUCAAGCAGUAUUACAGAGCAAUAGUGAUAAAAACUGCAUGGUAUUGGUACAGAGACAGACAGAUAGACCAAUGGAAUAGAAUUGAAGACCCAGAAAUG
rnacentral:lncRNA from 1 species